rnacentral:tRNA from 1 species
UGUAGUUCAGUCGGUAGAACGGCGGACUGUUAAUCCGUAUGUCACUGGUUCGAGUCCAGUCAGAUAU